rnacentral:rRNA from 1 species
AUGAAAAGAGGAGGAUGGUCUAACCCCCCGUCGGGAUUUGUUAAACUUAACGUUGAUGCUUCUUUUGACCACGACCUUCUCAGGGGUACGACCGGGGUUGUCUUAAGAGAUGACAAAGGUAGGUUCAUCGGUGGGGGAAAUGGUAAGAUUGACUGGUGUACAGAUGUGUUGAUGGCUGAAGCUUUGGCGUUAAAAUUUGGCCUAUCGCUUGCACAAAGGACGGGUUGUAAUCGCAUAAUUAUUAACUCGGAUAAUAUGGAGGUGAUCGAGACCAUGAACGAAGGAGGACGAUCGUCAGGGGCAGCAACUGCAAUUUUUGAUGACUGUUUUCACUUAGCUUGCGAUUUUUCUAUUUCUAGAUUUGAGCAUUGUAAUAGAGAAGCAAAUAAAGUUGCUCAUGAACUUGCCAAGUUGGCUAGAUUUUCAUUCAUUUCUGAUUGGUUUGAGGAACCACGUAAUGCAAUUGUACCAAUUCUCAUAAACGGUGUAAUGAUUAUUUCUAAUGAAUAA